rnacentral:ncRNA from 1 species
CUUAGAUGAGUAUACACACGAUACUCCAUAAACACAUAGGCUUGGUCCUGGCCUUUCUAUUAGUUGUUAAUAAACUUACACAUGCAAGAAUCCUCGCUCCUGUGAAAAUGCCCUCUAACCAUCAUUUGGUAAAAGGAGCUGGUAUCAAGCACACUAAAAGUAGCUCACAACACCUUGCUAAGCCACACCCCCACGGGAAACAGCAGUGAUAAAAAUUAAGCAAUAAAUGAAAGUCUGACUAAGUUAUGUUACUAAGGACUGGUAAAUCUCGUGCCAGCCACCGCGGUCAUACGAUUGGGCCAAACUAAUAGAUAAUCGGCGUAAAGUGUGUUCUAGAAUAUAUCACAAUAAUAAAGUCAAGCUCUAACUAGGCUGUAAAAAGCCUUAGUUAUUGUAAGAUACUCAACGAAAGUGACUUUAAAAUUUCUGACUGCACGACAGCUAAGACCCAAACUGGGAUUAGAUACCCCACUAUGCUUAGCCCUAAACAUAAAAAAUUAUAAACAAAAUUAUUCGCCAGAGUACUACCAGCAAAAGCUAGAAACUCAAAGGACUUGGCGGUGCCUUAUAUCCCUCUAGAGGAGCCUGUUCUAUAAUCGAUAAACCCCGUUAUACCUCACCAAUCCUUGCCAAAUCAGCCUAUAUACCGCCAUCUUCAGCAAACCCUGAUAAAGGAAGCAUAGUAAGCAUAAAUAUUAACAUAAAAACGUUAGGUCAAGGUGUAGCUUAUGGAUUGGAAAGAAAUGGGCUACAUUUCCCCAGAUUGAGGAUAUUUCACGAAAACUUAUGUGAAAUCAUUAGUCAAAGGUGGAUUUAGCAGUAAAUUAAGAAUAGAGUGCUUAAUUGAAUAAGGCCAUGAGGCACGCACACACCGCCCGUCACCCUCCUCAAGCAAAAAUACUAUGUUCUUUUCAUAAACCAUAAAACCAUUAAUCAGUAAGAGGAGACAAGUCGUAACAAGGUAAGUGUACUGGAAAGUGCACUUGGAUAACA